CAAUGCAGUUCAGGGAGGCUCUUCCUGCCCACCGUGGAUGUUAUUCACGUCUCCUCUCUGCUGGCUGCUGAGAACUGCAGAAAAUGAAGUGUCGCCAUCAUCCUUUGUCCUGCAGGCAGCAAUUUUCUGCUUGCCUGUGGGAAAUAAUCCUCUUUUAAUUUAAUUAAUUCAUUUUUCAAUUAUUUAAUGCAGCACGCUGGGAUAGCAGCAAGGCUUUUGGUUAGUUUUCAAAUCGCUGCCACCUCAGACAGUAGAGCACUGGGAUCCAGCUCCCAGGGAGAAGGGAUUCAUUGUCUUUCAAGCCACUGCUUUUAUUAGGAGGGGUAUGUCAUGUCCCUUCUCUGGCACAUCCCCCAGAAGGUUUCCAUGCAUCCUGCCAGACUGCUCAGGUCCUAGGGAGGCUUGAUCCUGUCUGGCCAAAGUCAAUGGCUCCGGACACAAAGAGCUGGAUGGGGCACCAAUGACAUCCAGUGUUUCUCCUCUUGCCAGCAAGGAGGCUCCUUGGAGAGCCCCAUGAGCACCCUCCCUGCUGCCAGCACCUGUGCUGUGCUGUGACAUUUUCUAGCUUUGGAAAAGCAAAUGCUGAUCCUCCAUGGAGGCACUUUGCAUUGCUCUGUGCUGGCCCCUCAAGCUGGCACCAGGAUUGCUUCUGGUAUGGCUAGGGUCUUCAGGGAGACUGAUUUUUCCACUCUGAGCUGUAUCUGUUAGUUCCUGAAUGGCAUCAACUUUGAUGUGAGGUGCAGGAGUAAGCCCUAAAAGAUUACUACUGCUGUCAGUUGUGCAGUUUUUGGUAGAUGAAACUCCAUUCAUUUCUGUAUAGCUCAUUUUGUUUUAUGCCAGUGUAAGUGAGAGCAGAGUCAGGCCUUCCUCCUGCAGCAGCUAAAGUGAAAAACAUUUCUAUUUUUAAAACUGAAAGCAUUUUUUACUCUUAUUUAUCAUGUGUCACUUUGUUGGCAGUGAUGAUGUAAAUGGCACACAAAAGUUAAAUGAACUAUUUAUAGCACUGCUUAUGACCCUAAUGCUCAGCAUCACAAUAGUCGCCAGGCAUUGCUUGGCCAGCAGAACCAAGGAAGCCUGGGUUCCUGGGCACAGAUAAGACUGUUGGCCUAAAGCUGCUCUUUCUUCUUUAUGGAUAUCUGAUUUUGCACUGCUUCUGGAUGUCUAUUAUCUCUAAGCUCUCUGUAAAAUCUGGUCAAAACUGGUCAAAGGAUUCAAAAGCUGUUACAGGAAUAAGAUAAGAAGACCAGUGAGGAGGAAUUAAGAGAUUGUCUGAGCCUCUCUUUCCCCAGUAAAUGCAAGUUAAAAAAAAAAGGUUUUGGUGUUUGCUGCAAGGCAAGUCCUGGCUCCAAUAAACACCUUCCCAUGUGUGGAAACCUGCAGAGACAUCAGCCAGACUGGUAGGCAGUUGUCAGAAUCAGAGGAGGAAGAGCGGAGCAGCUCAUAGCAGCUUCUGAUGGUGCCUCCAAGACUCUCUCUGAAGAGCACAACCCCCCGCCCCGCCAGCAUGGGAUGAAGAGCUUCCUUUCUUUUGUCUUAAUUCACCUUUCUAACGCCUGGCUUGUGAGAGAGGAAGGCAGGGUUGAGGCCAGGGGCAAGGGCUGCUGAUUCUGGCAUCCCUUUUUCAACUGGGGACAGUGCAAGGAUGGCAGGAGAUAAGCAACACAGAACAGGCUUGGACUGACCCUCCAUCCUCAGGGGUGAUAGCAGACUCUUCCCCUGCUGAAUUUGCAGGCUUAUUGGAAUACAAAAUUAUACUUCCCCCCCCUCGGUGUUAUAGUAAAUCCAUUGGUAAAGUGUCUCAAAGAGACAUUUUGUCCCCUUGCACAGGAAGAAAUUUCCUUCCAGCUAGGAAAUUUAUUCUCUGUAAAAUUGAACAGGAGAAUAAGAUUUCCAGAGGCAGCCUGUGGCUGUAAUAAAGGAUUAUUGCCAAUUUCUUAGCUGUGCAGGCAGAGCUUGACACUCAGGUAGCAAACUUUGUAUGCCCAAAACCCCACAACCAGGGGUACACAAAUGUCAGGGUGCAGAGCCCUCACCAACCAAUGACUGAUGGUUUCGAGGAUGCUCAUCUCCAGGUGAAGAUCUUGUUAGCGGUCCUGUGAGGCUUCCCCAUGCUGAAUAAUGAAGCAAGUCAGUGGUACAAUGUUAAGCCCAGAACACUGUGGUUUUCCCUGAAUUUUCUUGGAGGCCAGUGGCCAACCAGCUCAUCUCCCCAUUUGCAAGGCAGAGGGGCCCUUUUUUGUCUCCUUCACAGGGGGGUUGUUACACUGAUAGCAUUAAAGACUGCAACAUGCUGCAAGUGCUAGGGCAGCCAUACGAAUACCAUGGGCUGAGAAAAAUAUAAAAUGCAAUAAUUUAAAGGCUCUUGUCUUUCAGUUGCUAAUGGCUUAAUUAAACAACAACAUUUAACAGAUGUGCUUUUUCUCCUCCAAUAAUUCACUCCAUCUGUGUCAACAUAACUAGGCCCAAAUUAGUGCUUCAAAAUGUAGAUGUUACUGUCUUAUUUCAGUUUUUAUGUAUUAAUGUACAUUUACAUAUAUAUUGUUUCAUCUUGUAGUGAGAUGAGUGCCUCCUCAGAAGGAGAUGUUGCACACUAUGGAGUUAAAAGAGCCUCUCUUCUUUUGUGGAGUGAGAACAAAAAAGAGAAAAAACCCCACACAAAACAAAACCAGAGACAUUCAAAUACUGAUGCCUUGAAAUGAAGAGAAAAUUAAGUCGGUAUUAAGGGUGUUCAAUACUGAGCUACAGAAUCUGUGGCUCUGUGCCCUUUCGGAUAGUGAAUAUUUUGUGACAUUUUGUUUCUGAAGUGAUUUUUCUCUUAACUUCACAUGCUGAGAAAAAAGCUUGCCUUGCUCUGUGUGAAAGCAGAUGACCAGAUGAAUCCUUGGGCUGGAGGAACACAUAACUUAGACAUAUCUGUAGAGAGCUUUGUUGUUUUAUGAAAUAGCUUUAAUAGUGUCAGAGACAAAUAUAGCUCUCCUGAUUGUUAUUAUUAUUACUUUAAAAAACCCUUAUUUGUGUUAAGUGCUUUCUUUAAGACACUCAGGAGUCCUUGAAGACCUCGUGGGCUGUGACCCAGAUCUUGCAAACCCUCCUGUGCGAUGGAUGCUACAUGUGGAGGUAGUUGCACUGCUGGGGCAGCAGGGAUGAGGACAAGGAGUGCAGCAGUCCUCACUGGCUCUGAGUUUCCCUGCUUCCUAACAUGUUCCACCUCCCACACACUGUGGUCUCAGCCUGCUUGGUAGUUGGGGUGGGAUGCUGCAGGUGCUGGGCACAGCCUGUGGGCUUCUACGUGGCUGUGUGGCAGGUCCCACCACCAGGCACUCCCAGCCUUGCUGUCCCCUGGGGAGUCUGCAGGCUGUGCUAGAGCCAGCUAGGUGUACAGCAGGGCUGAGGAGCCAGCACAGCAUGUUCCUGGCUGCUCCUGAGACUGGUCUUACAAGCCAUGCAAACUCUGCUGCUGAAUGCAUCUGAGUGAUGCCUGGGCAAGAACACUCCCAAGUCCAGACCCAUUGUUUCUUUACAGUCUGAACGGCUUCUUUUUCAUGUUUUGCUAUGAAUUCUUAUGAACUGACUGGGUUACUUGACUUUCCCCUAAUUUAAUUUGGAUUAAUUUAAUUUUAAUCAGUCUGUCUUCUCAGCAUCCUAUUAACCUUCCAAUGAACUCUUCAUAUAAGGAGACUGAGGAAGGAGACAGUCUACAUCUGUUAAAAUAUUAGCCUGCUCUUUGAGUUGCAAAGUAUUAGACAGCAGAAAAAGAGUUGAAAUGGUCAGAGAGGAUGGUGGGUGGUGACCCAACCCUGUUCUCACUGAAGACACCAGGAAAACUGAUCUAGUGUCUCCCUGGGUCCCUUUGGCGCAGCUCACCCUGGCAGUGGUGUGGAAAGCAGCUAGAGCUGUCUCUGCCAUGAGACUAAGAGGCUCUGGCUUUAGUGGUUCUGACCUUGCCACUCUGAAUCCAAGGGGACAUUCCAGACCAAGAGAAACACAGGGUCACUAGUAGUUUUAACCUAUACUUAACAGGAUUAGAGUUGUGUCUGCCUGGUUUUCCCUCCUGUCAUACUGCCCAAUUUGCCAUCUGCUUAAAAAUUUCUUCAGACUCUUAACCAAAUUCAAUUACAUACAUGUAUAUAAUAGAUUGGCCUCAAUGUUAGCACCUGUCUGGGUAAGUUUUGCUGACAAUCAGCCAUGGUAUCUUCAAAGCAUUGCCUCAAAGGAGAGCUGAACUUUGCUGAGACUGGCAAGGUGGCAGCAAGACUUUCUCCUGAGCCACUUCUAAUUCAAUAUUUUUUCAAAUAAAACAGGGUAGUUAAUAAGUCAAUUCAGCUAAGAAAGGUCUGGGAGAUGUGUGAUUACUUUGUAUUUCUUGUGAUCUGUGUGUAACUUCUCACUUAUCACCAGGAAGAGAGAAGGGUGGCUAACUGCAGGUCCUCAGCAUCACAGAAGUCAAACACCGCAGUCUCCUCAUUCUGACACUGGAAAAUUCCCAGUAAUUGCAUCCAAGUCUUGUCUGCUAAAGACUGACAUGUUGGUCACUUGAGUUACUCAGGGUCUAUUUAAUUUCUAUAAAAAUAGGUAUGCAAUGAACAUGUCCAUCAGCUAAUAGAAUAAUAGAUAUUUCUGAAACUCAGUGAGACUCUGCCAGUGGUCUCUGGAAAAGCUGUAUGCCAUUUUGCUUAGCUAAAUUUGCAUUCAGACUGACCAGGAUUUCUCUACACAAGUAGCUGAUACCAUCACCACCAGGGCUGUUAAUGCAGCCCUGAAAGGAGGAGCAGGGCUUUGGAUUAUUUCAAAUAGGAUGGAGAGUCCUUUAUGAAACACCCUUUUUAUUAGGAUGCAAUCUGCAGUAUGAAGUCCAGAAUGGAGAGAUAGGUGGUGGAUGUAUGCCAGUGCCACAGCCUGGUGCAGGGGACUGUGGGGACAUCUGCACAGGGUCCAGGAGCCAUCGGCUCAGCAGGACCAUGGCCCCAGGAUGCACCGUGUGAUGGUGACAGCCCCUGCAUGAGUUGUGCAAGACUUGCCCAAGGUCCACAUUACAGCUGGGGCUUAAAUGCCCAACUGCAGGCACCUUAAUCUCAAAAGUAAAGUCUUCCCCUGCUUACUAAGGAUAGUCAGCUCUGAUCCUGCUAACACCCAGGGCUCUGACAGAUGGGCUCUGACAGCCUUAGCUAUGGGUCUUGGGGUGUCAUAGCCCCCCCAUGCCAGGGUGCUCCUGGGCUGCCAUGGCAACUUCACUGAGUGAUGUGAGAGGUCAGUGCCUUAACACACUGCCCACAACACCGGCAGAGCCUGCUGCUCACAACAUCCCUCACUGGAGUCACUCCAGGCUCAAGCAGGAGAACACAGGGAAGGCAUUGCACGAGAACCGCCGUUCCUUUUGCUAAUGACUCCUCUAACACCUGCUCUAGCUUUGCCUGGCUUUGCGAUUUCUGCACUGGUUUGUGUGCACAGAUCUCCAACAGGGACUGAGGACUGGCACCACACUGCUCUUGGAGGAUUAGAGUUCCAUCAAAAAAACCGCCUUGGCAGAGCAUCAUUGCAAAGCCAACCCCUUGGAAAUGAAGAGCUGUUAAAAAGGACAUGAGUUGUGCAACUUUAUCUGAACAACAUCUUCAAUACACAGACUCUAAUGACUAAUAUAAUUGAAAUCUAGAUACUAUGUCUCCUUGGCAACAGACAACAUCCAGCGUGGACUAUCCCACUGUCGCCAGAUGCUGUGGGAAUCUCGCCACCCCAGUGGGCAGGAGGGCAAAGCCUGGAGCAGGAGGCAAGGAGCCUGUCAGCAGGGUGCCUGCAAGGGGAGGGUUGCAGCCAGUAGCCAGCCUGCCCUCAUCUCGGCUGUGCUCAGCCCCAGGAAGGCAGCAGGAGGCAGGAUCAACCAAGGACAGGAGAAACAUGCAGUUCUUCGCUCUUAGCACUUUCAUGUGGGGGACUGUAGGAUGUAAAAGGCCCCCAGUGGUACCAAUGUCAUGGCCAGGCAAUUCCCAGAACAUCAGGUGUGAGGCUGCAAAGAUGAGAAGCAUGUUGCAUCCUUUAAAAGUAAUCCAGCAGAAGGAAGGAGUUCGUGAAGAUAUGAGAGAAGCAAGGAUGAAUUCUUCUCUGUGGCUGCUCCUGAGCCUUCCUCACAUAUGGAGUCUGUGUUUGCCUUCUGGAUGCUCUUGGGCGUGGGCUGAGAAACUGAGGCAGUCAUGCUGUUCUUUCUUCCCCUGUGCUAUUUUCCAAGAUGGGCUGAGUGAUGCUCUGUUGCAUCCCUACUUUGUCUGCACUGUGGUCAUUCUAUCAUGGUGGGAGCCGGACCGGGACAGCCUGGAGCUUCUAACUUACUCAUGGGCACAUCCAGCAGCAGCAUCCCCAUGGCUGAGCAUGCAUCAAAAGGACAAUGGUGAGACUUUCCAUGUACAGGGCAAUGUUGUGCUUGACGCAGUAACCUCAGACAGAGCAUCACACUGGUGUGGCUCUGCCUACCUGUAGCUAGGCUGCCUCCUUGUGAGGUGUCUCAUGUAGGUCAACAUGGACAGCAUUGCACUGCUGGGUCAAAAUAGGUGGGCAGGGAAUGGACUCUGCAGGAGGAUGGGCUGGAUAGGCUGGGAUGUACCAGUCUGGGAUAGAUAUGGCUGCAGGGCAAGGGUGAGUAUGCAAGAGGUCUGUGAAAGGAAAGGGAAGGAAUUUUAAUUCCUUCUCACCAGGUUUAAAGUCAUAACAUACAUUUAUUAGGCAGCAGGUUUAAAAGAAGCAGGAAAAAAAAAAAAAAAAAAAAGGUAUUUCAGCAUCCAGUUGCCCUUUGAAGUUGUUGGCACAGGAUGUUUGGGUGCUGGGAGUUUGCAAGGGGUCAGAAAGCAGCUAGACAAAUUGAAGAGAGCAAAAUCCUUCAAGGGCUGCUAAGCACAUGGAUGUCACCUCUAGCCAGUGAAGUCCUUGGCUCGUGGCAUGCCUGCAGUUUCCUUAUGUCCUCCCUAGACACCUGCUCAGGCUGCUGGGCAGGGGCUGGGAGAAGCCACCUGCCCAGGAUGGCUGUUUUCUGUUCUUGCAGCCUGCUGUGAUGUUCUGGCAUUCCUCCUGAGUCAAUCACCGUGGCCGGCUUUGCCUCCUGGAGUUAGACAGCGGGAGGUCAGAAGCUGAAGUGACCUGGUGUGCUCAGCACAUCAGCUGAGCAAAGUUCCCCCAUGGAGCUACACGAGUCCCAGGCUUUGGUGAGGCCCCAGUGUAUUUGCAUCCCUACCACACAUGGAGGCUGCAGCAAGUAACAGCAAGUUAAUGAGUGGGCUGCUUUGCAGGUUGCAAGAUGCUCUAGAAUACGUUGCACGUAUUUGUCAUGAGGCUCCUAACUUGCUCUGGCCCUUUUUUCCCCACUUCAGGAGAAAGGCAGUCUUGGUUUUGCAGUGGAAUGUUUUGCUCCCUGUGAAUGAUUAAUGGCAGAUUAAAAAAGGUAAUAAUUAAAUGUGAAUUUCAGAGUUUCUCAUCUGGUGUCUUUUGUUGCCAUUUCACCGUGCAGCUUGAUGGCACUUCAACAAUAUUUCAUGAAAACUUUGCUGCAGCUCCCCAUUCCUGUGGCUCUGGGCUAAGAAACACCAAGGCUAUAAGGAGCCUUGAGCUUGACUAAGCUCACAGGGACAAAAAAUAAAAAACUUCAUAGCUUAGUGCUCAGACCUGCUGCCUGUUAACAGCAAGGAAGCUGGUUUUAAUUCUAGAGGUGCAAAUUAAACCAUACGGGAAUAAAGUGUGACCAAAACCUACAGCAAGCAGGUGAAACUCCUAACAAUUCAAGUGUAGGAAAGGAAAGGGAAGAGAGGCUGGGCUGUUGGGGAAGGGGCUCCCGGGACCCUUCACUACAAAAGCCUCCAGAGGAUCCCCCUGGGGAGGUCCCCGAGGAUGCCUGUGGGCCAGCCAGGAGCUGGCUGGUUUGUCAGGUUUGUCCCGAAUGGGGGUAGAUAGCAGACAAGAUGUAUAUACAGAGAACAAGAUUAAUUGCAAACAGCAUUGGGAUCUUAACUGUUUCAAAGUAAAAAGCACAAGCACACUCAAAUUGUGGGGAAAUUGGGAUGUCUGAACAGAAUGCUGAAGCUAUAAUGCAAAAGGUAUCUUAACAAUAAUGUACCACCAACAGUGAAAUCAAUCAAUAAAGGUAUACCAUUAAAAUGCUAGCAACUUGUUAACAAUUUUUAUACUAGAUCUAGAAUGUUAAUUACUGACUUCAAAAGGGUGCUAAAGUGUUAAAAAUUAAAACUUAAUGAAGAAA